GGAUAAAUGGCUGAGUGGUUUAAGGUGUUAGUUUUGAAAACUAGCGUGUUGUUAAGGCACCGUAGGUUCGAAUCCUACUUUAUCCG